AAAAAAGAAAAGAACAAAACCAUGAAAAAGAAACAACAAACGAAAUCGAAGAAACAAAAGCGAGACAUAUUGUUUCUUGGAUUUGGUUUGUCGUUUAUUUUCAUGAUUUUGUGUGGUGUAGGUGUGCCGUUUUUUUUUCCG
rnacentral:ribozyme from 1 species